CUUAUUCUUUUAUAAGAGUGACGGGCGAUAUGUGCAUGUUAAAUUUCAAUUUCAAUAUAAAAUAUCUUUUAAUUUUAUUUUUAAGUCCUAUUUCUUUUAUUCUUUCUUAUCAGAUAAUUAUUUAUUGUAUUCCACCAUUUCUUGUAAAUAAUUCUUGUAUUGAUUUGUUUUUCUAUUUAAUUUGAAUAUUACAAAAUGUUAUUUAUUUUCAUUUUUUAAAACAAUAAUAUGAGUAAUAAUAUAACAAGUCACUUAAAUCGUGGGUUAUCGAUUAUAAUACAGAAUCCCCUAAUUUGAUUUUACACCGCCAUUUUAAUUAGAUUUUUCUUUAUAUAGAUACUUUCUGUUUUUGUUUUAAAA
rnacentral:rRNA from 1 species